rnacentral:rRNA from 1 species
CCUACGGGAGGCAGCAGUGGGGAAUAUUGGGCAAUGGGCGCAAGCCUGACCCAGCAACGCCGCGUGAAGGAAGAAGGCUCUCGGGUUGUAAACUUCUUUUCGCAGGGACGAAACAAGUGACGGUACUUGAGGAAUAAGCCACGGCUAACUAAGUGCCAGCAGCCGCGGUAAUACGUAGGUCGCAAGCGUUAUCCGGAUUUACUGGGUGGAAAGGGCGUGUAGGCGGGAAAGCAAGUCAGGUGUGAAAACCAUGGGCUCAACCUGUGGCCUGCAUUUGAAACUGUUUUUCUUGAGUACUGGAGAGGCAGACGGAAUGCCUGGUGUAGCGGUGAAAUGCGUAGAUAUUAGGAGGAACACCAGUGGCGAAGGCGGUCUGCUGGACAGCAACUGACGCUGAGGCGCGAAAGCGUGGGGAGCAAACAGGAUUAGAUACCCUUGUAGUC